UACGUAGGGUCCGAGCGUUGUCCGGAAUUACUGGGCGUAAAGCGCGCGCAGGCGGCCCGCGAGGUGUCACGUGAAAGCCCCGGGCUCAACCCGGGAGGGUCGUGGCAAACCGGCGGGCUUGAGGCCGGUAGAGGUGGGUGGAACUCCUGGUGGAGUGGUGAAAUGCGUAGAGAUCAGGAGGAACACCAAUGGCGAAGGCAGCUCGCUGGGACGGUACUGACGCUGAGACGCGAAAGCGUGGGGAGCAAACAGG
rnacentral:rRNA from 1 species